UAUCUUCAAAUUAAUAAUUAACACCAUAACAAAGGUCCAUAAAUCAGAUAUCAAAUUCAUGAAACACAUCUCAUGUAUGUAAACCUAUUUCUAAAUUAAAUUCAUGCAAGGAGCUUUCUGUGCCAUUCAAAAAUACGACUUUCAUUAACAAUACCAUAUUCUAGACAUUCAGACGCAUUCCAACAAAAAAUCACAUAUCAAACAAAAUUCUUGAAGUUUACUUGCAGUUUUGCUCUUAAUACUUAUUUCACACGAAUUCUACAAAAUUAUUUUCAAAAUAACAAUUUGAUUUUCAUAAUUAACAGAGCUCAAAUCGUAAUUAAAAAAAAUAUACAACGGCUGAAACAUACUGUGUCUGAAUACCAAGACUAAUCUCAGGCCCAACGCAGUGGGGAUGACGUCACUCACAGCUGUUCGUAUACGCUCAAAACAACCCUGCUCGAUCGGCCGAGUCAGAUUCACAAACACCUCAUGACACUCAAAACUGAAGCUCAUAUUCGCAAACUCUCUACGGACCAAAUUUGAUUAGAAUUUCACAAAAUGUUCUCAAAUAUACAAUUUUAUUACUGACCGAGUUUACAAGGGAUCCGAUGAUUACAAGAAGGUGAUUUCAAGCAAAGAAAAAUAAAUACCUGAAUAUUAGGUCCUUCCCUCGCAUGAAGAUCCAAUGGGACCAAGUUCUUAGCAGUUCACACCUAGUCAGAAGUACAAAAUUGAGAACCAUGCCGAUCAGCAAGUGUUAGUUACAAUCUAAUGAGGAACAGGAUAUCUGAAUGGGAAAAUUGCAAGGUUUCCCACUUCCUAAGCUGUUUAAGUACUGGUAUCACAACAUAAGUGCCAAGAAGAGAAUUGAAACGGUCUCAAAAUUUUUGCUGGUGCCCCCCCCCCCCCCGAUGCCGUGACCCACGGUACGCCACUGCAAGUCUUCAUAAAUUAUGUAGGGUUAUUAAGUUGCAUUUAUUGUUAUCUUCAUUUAAAAAAAAUGUGAAAUGGGCUACCACUGCAAUAAUAUAUAAAUAGACUAUAUUUCAAACAUAGAUUGAAUUCUAACCACAGUGACAGUAGACAAAUCAAAUUUUGUUAAUGAUUCGCUAAUGUAUUGAUUGGGGAAGGCACUCUUUAGGAUUCUGGCAUUGUGUCCCACCCCCCCCCCCCCUUAUGAGGAGUGCUCUCACAUCAGUAGACUAUUUCUUGUCAGCAAAUUUGAAAGGAAUUCACCCAUUUUUUUGAGUGACAAACUUUUGUGGAAGAAAAUAAACGAAUAUCAAAGGUUUUUAUGCUCUUUUAUGGAAUAUUAACUAUAGGCUCAUCGAGAUCCUUUGAAUGAAAUUUUAACAAACAUUGUACAAUGUAGAAAAAUGUACUUAAUCCUAUUUUUGUACAUUUAUAUACCCACCCCAGGCUACCCUUACCCAGUAACAGCCCUUUUUAGCUAUGCAUUGCCUUCAUUUUUUUAAAUACAAUUUAAUGCUUGGUAGAUGCUAAUUAUUAUUUUUAUGUUAAUGUCAAUGUUUUAGAAAAUGGAUUCCUUAAUAAACAUGUUAAUUUUGAAUUGAA